rnacentral:rRNA from 1 species
UACAGAGGGGGCAAGCGUUGUUCGGAAUUACUGGGCGUAAAGGGCGCGUAGGCGGCCUGUUAAGUCGAACGUGAAAUCCCCGGGCUCAACCCGGGAACUGCGUCCGAUACUGGCAGGCUUGAAUUCGGGAGAGGGAUGUGGAAUUCCAGGUGUAGCGGUGAAAUGCGUAGAUAUCUGGAGGAAUACCGGUGGCGAAGGCGGCAUCCUGGACCGACAUUGACGCUGAACGGCGAAAGCUAGGGGAGCAAACGGG